CAGCCCUCGACACAAGGGUUUG
rnacentral:piRNA from 1 species